ACCCCCAGCCCGCUGCCCACGCGCACCUCUGGGCUCGGGCGGCCGGGGCCGGGGUGGCGGGUGCGUGUCCAGUGGACGCCCGGCCUGCGGGCACCUUGGGGCCCGGCGGGGAGGGGGAAGGGCGCGCGCUCCCGCGGCCGGUCGGAAGGAGGGCGCGCCGGCGGCCCCGCGGCCCGGCGGGAGCGCUGCCGGCGGGAGCGCUGCCGCCGGGGAGCGGGAACCCCGCAUCCCGCGCCGCUGUCUGGAGGGGCUGUUUAAGCAGCCGGCCGUGCAACACGGCCCUCUCUCCGCUUCCGCGCCAGUCUCCCGCGGACAAUUUUAUCUUCUCUCGGCGGCCCUGCCAGGGCUGCUGAGAGAGCGGGCGGCGUCUGUAGCGCCGGUCCCCGGCUCGCCCGCGCCCUGGCCUCAGUGCCCGAGGCAAGAUGGCUGUACUUCGUGGGCCUUCCCACGCCGGUCCGGAGCCCGACCUAGCCGUGGCCGGGCCUCGUGACCGGUCCGUUGGGUGGAACGCCCGGAUAGUGUACCCAAACUCUGUCCGCAGCUCCGACGUAGCUGAGGCAGUGGACAACGGCAGAAUUUCAGAUGGCUUAUCCCUUCCUAGGCUGAAUGUGAGAGUUUAGGAUUCGUUUGGUUCCCUUGGGGCAGUAAGCUUCCCAGGACCACUGCCAACACUGACACCCAUCCAUGGCAAGAUGCAUCCUGGACACAUUGUCACCAGGCCUCAUAGAGGGAGCUCGCUGAAUUCCUGAUAGUCCUCAAGCUGGCUCCCACCCGGAUUUCUCACGGUGCUCUGAGCUUCUUUAGCAGCAGAACCUGGCUUCCUUCUAUGGGUCUGAAGGGCAGGCAUCUACUUGUGUUCUUGCCACAUCCAUCCUUCCCUUUCUGGAAAGCAAAUUGUUCCAUGUGAGAUCUCCAUGAACAAGGUAUAUAACAAGAGUGGAACUGCUGUGGCUGACUCUCUGAGGAACUGCUAAGCUGUUUUGGAAAUGGACUGCACCAUUCCAUUUAAAAUUAUUUCUUUCCCACCAGUGGACUAUGAGGGUUCUGAUUUCCCACAUCAUUGCCAAAAAGUUUCAUUGUGUUUCUUUCCCAUUCAUGCUUUUAUGCUUUUAAUAUGUAAUACAUGUUUAGCAGACUCACAAACUCCAAGAAGAGACUAGCAGUUAUGAAAGGAAGGGGCUGGGAAUGGUGGGAGAAGG